rnacentral:tRNA from 1 species
GGACUUGUUCAGUGGUCAAGUAUCUGCUUUGCACACAGAAGGUCCCAGGUUCAAGACCUGGCAUCUCCA